GGGCUUGUGGUUUAGUGGUAUAAUUUUCCCUUAGCAUAGCUUCAUAGCGAAGGCGUGGGAAAGGUCCUGGGUUCGAUUCCCAGCAAGUCCA